GCGCUGUUCAUCCGUGCCAUAAACCACCCCCCCCCCCAAUCCCCCGUUGGAUCUGUAGUUGCUUGGUCUGAACCACAAAGGGCCUUGGCAAGCACUGGGGAGGCUGAGGAUAGUUGUGAGUCUGGGCUGUAGACUGAGACUCUUGUCUCAACAAAACAAGACAAAUAUAUCAACAAAAGACUCAGGAGAUUCGGGGUGAGGACGCAACAGGAGACUUCCCAGAUGACUCCAGAGCAGGGCAACUCGCAACCUGGACCAAUCACCUCACUGCUGGUCCACGAAUGAGGAAUAAGCAUCUUUGUGCCACCGGAUGGGCAAAGCACUCGCUCCUUCCCUUGAAGCGUGACAUAAGCUGUUCUCGAAUGUGGUUUGUCAAGUCGAGUAAGCUCACCUCCAGUCCUUAUCCCCUGGAGAUUUCCUCCAGGAAAAGAUGCAAAAGAUGCCGAGAACCCAGUGAGUGCCUUCUGCAGCCCAGAGAGAACUCUUUCAGAAGAAGAAACAUCUGUUUUCUACUUUAGUUGUUUGUUUGCUGUGUUACAAAGAUUGAACCCAGGACCUCAAGUAUGCUAGGCGAGAGUUCUGCCACUAUGCUAUGACACCUGGAUCUCCCCCAUGGGACAUACUUAGCCAUUUAGAAUGCUUCAAGACCCAUGGAGACAGCCUGGGCUAGCCCUUGCACAACUCCCAUUUGAGUGGUAAUUUGCUUUUGUUAAGAUUUCAGAAAUGAACCCCACUGGGAAUUUUCUCCUCUUCUCAAUGCAAUCUCCAUGAUGGCUCAGAGUCAAAGCCCUGUAUCCUCCAUGAGAAAUGAUUGUAGUUUUGUUGGGAUGACCUCUGGAAGCCCUCUGGUCUGCUACAAAGCUGUGCAAAAUCUGGAAAGGGUGCUGAUGUGAGAGUAAAUGGCUAGAGGAGACAUCUGUAUUGCUGAGGCAAGAUAGCCUGCCCUGUGUGUCUGUAGCUAGAAGCAUUCUUCUACCAAGCCCUCUAGGCUCCCACCCCCAUAUCCUUGAACUUGCUGGCCAGCCCUUCUCCAGUCUUGAAUUUCUUCUGCAAACCAACUCCUGGAUAUUAGUUCUUCUGCUCAAAAGUGUGCUUCAAAUGUCCCUGGUGUUCUGUUACUCCAGCCAACAAAAGCAGGUGGUCUCUUUCUCUAGAAGGUUUUUUUUCCAUAGAACUCAGAUUUACCCAACAUUUAGAAUCCUCCAUUUUUCCUGCCAAUGUCUAAACAGUGUCUGUGUGGUGUGACACUCUAAAUUAACAGUCUGCGAUAUGAGUGGAAGUGAAUUUUCCAGGACAAUUGUGAUUUCAUUCUUUAUUCUUUGAUUUUCUUGAAACAGGGUCAUGCUGUAUAGCCCAAGCUGGCCUUGAACUCAGGUUUCUCCUGAGUCCAAUUAUAAAAACAUCAAAUCCCCUUGUUAAUAAACUCCCAGACCUAGUGUGCAUUAGUGACUGACAUUGAAGUCAAAAUGAGAACUUUAUUGAAAAAGAUGCUGUGGGAAUAUUUUCAAUGUAUUGAACUAUGUAUUAGCCAUGAGCAAUGCCUGCACAUACUAGCCGUGUACAAUGCCUGUACAUAGCCAUGUGUGAUGCCUCUAAUCUCACUCUGAAAAGCUGAGACAGGAGGAUUAUGAAUGAUACCCUGUGUUCAAAGCAACCAGAAAAAGAAAAAAAAUUAUGAAGCGAUCAUGCAACUCUCACUAAAUAUGUUGAAUACUAAUCUCUAAGAAGC
rnacentral:lncRNA from 1 species